ACCUUUGCCAUUGGUUUUGGUUCUCGCCGACAGAUUAAAAGGGAAUGCCGUGCGAAUCGGCAACAGACCCGCUGCUGUGAGUUUCGCCAAAGGGCUUUUUACUGUUGUUCCACUGAUUUUUAUAAAAAAACGGGAAGGAUAAAAAGCCGAAACAAGUCAGAAGACCUGCCCAAACCACGUAAUUAUU
rnacentral:ncRNA from 2 species